UUGACAGCAUGGGGUACUGAACUUUAACUACAGAACAGGUGCUGCAUGGAUAGCAAUAUCUGCCUCCUCAUGUUGCCGACAACAUGCCUCAACCCAUUCUGAAAAGACCACUUCUAGAGAUGAGUGGGUAGUUCAUUCACAUGUGCAUUCAAAUCCUUGGCCUCU
rnacentral:sRNA from 1 species